GUUGCGGACAGUGUCUGGUGGGUAGUUUGACUGGGGCGGUCUCCUCCUAAAGAGUAACGGAGGAGCACGAAGGUUGGCUAAUCCUGGUCGGACAUCAGGAGGUUAGUGCAAUGGCAUAAGCCAGCUUGACUGCGAGCGUGACGGCGCGAGCAGGUGCGAAAGCAGGUCAUAGUGAUCCGGUGGUUCUGAAUGGAAGGGCCAUCGCUCAACGGAUAAAAGGUACUCCGGGGAUAACAGGCUGAUACCGCCCAAGAGUUCAUAUCGACGGCGGUGUUUGGCACCUCGAUGUCGGCUCAUCACAUCCUGGGGCUGAAGUAGGUCCCAAGGGUAUGGCUGUUCGCCAUUUAAAGUGGUACGCGAGCUGGGUUUAGAACGUCGUGAGACAGUUCGGUCCCUAUCUGCCGUGGGCGCUGGAGAACUGAGGGGGGCUGCUCCUAGUACGAGAGGACCGGAGUGGACGCAUCACUGGUGUUCGGGUUGUCAUGCCAAUGGCACUGCCCGGUAGCUAAAUGCGGAAGAGAUAAGUGCUGAAAGCAUCUAAGCACGAAACUUGCCCCGAGAUGAGUUCUCCCUGAGACUUAGAGUCUCCUGAAGGAACGUUGAAGACGACGACGUUGAUAGGCCGGGUGUGUAAGCGCAGCGAUGCGUUGAGCUAACCGGUACUAAUGAACCGUGAGG
rnacentral:rRNA from 1 species